rnacentral:sRNA from 1 species
AUGAAUGUCACCCAGAGCGGACUGAUGGGUGUCAACACUUCUGCCUCCCAGGACAGGAAUCCUACACGUGCAGCUGUGCUCAGGGCUACAGGCUUGGUGAGGACCACAAACGGUGUGUGCCCCACGACCAGUGUGCCUGCGGGGUGCUGACCUCCGAGAAGCGUGCACCGGAUCUACAGGACCUCCCGUGGCAGGCCUCUAACACAAUUAUCUCCUUCUGCCUGGGUUGAGGUGCAGCCCUCGUGUCCACAAUGCUCCGUACCCGAGUGUGGCUGCCGUGUGGAUGGCACAGCCUCAGGGGCCCCCCUUGUAAAGUUAACAAAUUCCGAAGGAAAAGACUUCUGUGGUGGUGUUAUAAUCCGGGAAAAUUUUGUACUGACAACAGCAAAAUGUUCACUGUUACACAGGAAU